CUAGCGUUGAGUCUUUGAGGUUGUGAAGAUGAGAAAAGAAGUGAGGAAGGUCAGAGUGCUGACAAUUCGCAAGCUAACUAGACAUAUUGCAAAACUGAAGGCAAAAAAGGGCACGGAAGAUGCAGUAUU